rnacentral:rRNA from 1 species
UGGGGAAUAUUGGACAAUGGGCGCAAGCCUGAUCCAGCCAUGCCGCGUGUGUGAAGAAGGCCUUAUGGUUGUAAAGCACUUUAAGCGAGGAGGAGGCUACUUUAGUUAAUACCUAGAGAUAGUGGACGUUACUCGCAGAAUAAGCACCGGCUAACUCUGUGCCAGCAGCCGCGGUAAUACAGAGGGUGCAAGCGUUAAUCGGAUUUACUGGGCGUAAAGCGCGCGUAGGCGGCUAAUUAAGUCAAAUGUGGAAUCCCCGAGCUUAACUUGGGAAUUGCAUUCGAUACUGGUUAGCUAGAGUGUGGGAGAGGAUGGUAGAAUUCCAGGUGUAGCGGUGAAAUGCGUAGAGAUCUGGAGGAAUACCGAUGGCGAAGGCAGCCAUCUGGCCUAACACUGACGCUGAGGUGCGAAAGCAUGGGGAGCAAACAGGAUUAGAUACCCUGGUAGUCCAUGCCGUAAACGAUGUCUACUAGCCGUUGGGGCCUUUGAGGCUUUAGUGGCGCAGCUAACGCGAUAAGUAGACCGCCUGGGGAGUACGGUCGCAAGAUUAAAACUCAAAUGAAUUGACGGGGUCAUAGCUGUUUCCUG